rnacentral:tRNA from 1 species
CUCGGAGUGCCAGAGCGGUCUAAUGGCCUCGCCUGCAAAGCGAUUGAUCCCCGGUUCGAAUCCGGGCUCCGAGUCCA